UUUAUUUUAUUUUAUUUUAUUUUUUUGGUUCAUUAUAUGUGCAGUAGUGUGGAUUGAUAUCGCAUCCAAUCCUGUUGCUCUUCGUCCCAUUGAGGUGCUGUGGUACAGCAUUCCAUUCUUUUUGUGAUUCAUGUGGAAUCUUGAAAUCAAGGAGGGUGUAGGAGACUCUUCUAGUUUUUGUAUACUGAAGGUAGAACUCCAAGGAUUGCGGAUCAAUGCAUUUGAGUUGGUUUUUGCUCAAAUUUUUUC
rnacentral:lncRNA from 1 species